rnacentral:rRNA from 1 species
GAGAGACGCUGGCGGCGUGGAUUAGGCAUGCAAGUCGAACGGUAUCAUCCUUUCGGGGGUGAGAGAGUGGCGAACUGGUGAGUAACACGUAGGUUAUCUACCCUCAAGACGGGACAACCCAGGGAAACUUGGGCUAAUACCGGAUGUGAGCAACUUUUAGUUGUUUGAAAGGUGGCGUAAGCUGUCGCUUGGGGAUGAGCCUGCGUCCUAUUAGUUAGUUGGUGAGGUAACGGCUCACCUAGGCAAUGAUAGGUAGGCGGCCUUAACGGGUGGUCGCCCACACUGGGAUUGAGAUACGGCCCAGACUCCUACGGGAGGCAGCAGUCGAGAAUAGUCUACAAUGGUCGGAAGACUGAUAGUGCGACGCCGCGUGAACGAUGAAUCCCUUCGGGGUGUAAAGUUCUUUUAUAUGUGAGCAGUGCUUCUUAUAUUAACAGUAUGGGGAGAGAGAUAUUAGCAUAUGAAUAAGCAACGGCUAACUCCGUG